UGACUUGGUCUAAGGCAUAAGCUAGUAGCCUUAGCUGAGGCUGAUCGACAUUUGCUAAAUACCUAGUGGGACAUGUUUUUUACGCAUACUUUGAUCCAAAGUAACACUUUAAAUUCAAGAUAUAGUCCAAAAGAUGUUUGAUCGAGGUCCAGGUUGAGGUCGAUCUUAGACCGUAAGAAUUUGAGCAUGUCCUUUAGGUCGGUUGGGUGACUUGAGGUGACUUGAGUCCAACUCUUUCUAACUUCCACACUCUUUUACUCUUUUGACUUAGAUAUUGAAGUGUGUGUAGCAAGCACCACACUAGUGUACAAAUUUUCUAUUUUG
rnacentral:lncRNA from 1 species